CACUGGCUGUGUGAGAACAGUGACUGUUCUUCAGCCCAACUACUUACAUGUGGAGUCUUAGAAGCCUGGGCUGCUGCAGUGACUUGAGACUGCUAUGGCCGUGCCUCAGCUUGGAUUACUAUUCUCUCUUAUCUUCACAGCUCUCAUUUUACUACACAUAGGUAAUUGCCUUCAGAUGGAUCAACAACUCUGCCGCCCAGAAUGCAUUGCUUCCUCAUCCCCUGACAAGUCGUACCAGAGAGGGGUGAGAUACACGUACAGGUACAGCUCGACUAUAACCACGACUCUACAAGGCUCUACCUCAGGCAGAAAUGGACUGGCUCUCGACUGUGUGGUGGACAUUGACGUGAUUUCCAAGUGUCACCUUAUGAUGCAGAUCAGGAAUCCACAGAUAAAGCGUCUUUCUCCCCAGAAGGAACAUUCUGUGCAACGCCUAAAGAGUUUGAGGGAGUCGCUGGAGAGGAGUCGCCUCAAGUUCUCCCUCCAGGGGGGAAAGGUCACGGCCCUCUGUCCACAGGAGGGGGAGCAGCUGUGGACUCUGAACAUCAAGAGAGCUCUACUGAGCAUGCUCCAGACCUCCCGCACCGCCGAGAAGCAGGAAGUAGUGAAGGAGGUGAGGGCGGAAUGAUCCGUCUCCCAAUAUGAGUAAUAGCAGGAUAGGCCAUGCAUGAAACCCUAGGUUAGUAUUUGCAGUAGGAGGACGACAUAUUGCAGUGGUGUCCAAAGUCUGUUCUGCACGGCUACUGUGGGUGCAGGCUUUUGUUCCAGCCCAGCACUAACCCAGUUAACUAAGUAAUUAUGAUCUGCAUUGAAUACCAUGAUUCAUUAAUUAUUUGGAUCAAGUGUGUCACAGCUGGGCUGGAACAAAAGCCUGCACAUCCUGUAGCUCUCCAGAACCAAGUUUGGACACCAGGUCUUCAUAUUGUACAUUGGACAAUCCUCUGCCUUUUUUCCUUCCCGUGUCAAUUCUUCAGACGGAUCUGUACGGGACCUGCACGAGUAAGUAUGAGAGGAGAGGGCCUCUACUGGUGAAGACGAGGAACCUCAGGCAGUGUCAACAGGACCGACUGGCUUACUUCUGGCCCAAUUCCACCCCUCUGAGAGAGGACACGGUGAGAUCUUCUACCAUCCUCUCCCCCCCUCAACAUGGAACAGUCAAUGGUUACCAUAGUCACAACCAAUCACUGAUGUCUUUCUCUUG
rnacentral:lncRNA from 1 species